UACGUAGGGGGCUAGCGUUGUCCGGAAUCAUUGGGCGUAAAGCGCGCGUAGGCGGCCCGGUAAGUCCGCUGUGAAAGUCAAAGGCUCAACCUUUGAAUGUCAGCGGAUACUGCCGGGCUAGAGUCCGGAAGAGGCGAGUGGAACUCCUGGUGUAGCGGUGGAAUGCGCAGAUAUCAGGAGGAACACCCGUGGCGAAGGCGGCUCUCUGGGACGGUACUGACGCUGAGACGCGAAAGCGUGGGGAGCGAACAGG
rnacentral:rRNA from 1 species